AUCAAACAUGUUUUCAUUCAAUAAAGAUCAUUUCCAUUUCAAAUAGUUGUCCAUUAAAUCUUACAAGCAUCAUUUUCCAAAUUCCAUACAAGAAAAUACCAAAAAAAAUACAAUUUUUGCAAAAGUUGAAUUUUGGUCAAUUGUUGACUUUUUGGUCAACCAAUUGACCAAAGUCAACUAACCCAUCUUUUCACAACCUAAACUCUAAUACAUAUUGCAUCUUCAUUCUUGCAUGCCUCCAUAUGACUCCAUGACCAAUGUCUUCAUAAGAAAGAAAGCCACCUUUUACACCAUUGUUUUUCCAUGCCUUGAAUGCUCAUUUGAUGUGCAUUUACCAAGCAUUGUUUUGCCAUAUCUUUGAGCCUUGCAGUCACAUCAUCACUUACAGACCUGUCACAACCCAAACAGCUACAAAGUAAACCAUCCAUGGCAUCAUCUAACACACAUUUCAAGCAUUCAUAACUAACUCAAUCAUGGCAACAUAUCCUAUAUGGCCAUAGUACAUUAACCUAGCAUGAAGAAACAUACAUGCACAUCUGCAGCAUGAAUAAAUGGGAAAACAUGCAUUUCAAGGAAAAAAACAUUCAAAGCCUUACAUAAACCAUAGGCUGCAGCAAAUCAAACCAAAGCCUACAGCCUGCAAAUCACCUGCAAGUUACCAUUCAAUCAAACUAAACAUAGGUAACACAUCAUGCAAUGCAACCAAGUGAAAACUAACCCACCGCCCUAACCUACAAGACAAACCACCAAUUAUAAAAUAACAACAUCAAUUCAAGCACAACCUGCAUCGAGUCAGCAAACCUAGUCAUGCAACCAAUCAUGCCUAAACCUACAGCAAGACAAU
rnacentral:lncRNA from 1 species